CUAUCGGUGUCGAUUAGGCCUGCCAGUCGAGAGGUGUAAAACCUCGGCUGACUGCUCAUUAACACGUGGAUUACCUGCCCAAGGGUCCGGGAUAACCCCGGGAAACUGGGGAUAAUACCGGAUGGGUCACCAAUGCUGGAAUGCUUGGUGGUCGAAAGGUGACGCCUUUGGAUGGGUCUGCGGCGGAUUAAGUUGACGCCGGUGUAACGUACCGGCGUGCCUGUAAUCCGUACGGGUUGUGGGAGCAAGAGCCCGGAGAUGGAUUCUGAAACACGAAUCCAGGCCCUACGGGGCGCAGCAGGCGCGAAAACUCUACAAUGCAGGCGACUGCGAUAGGGGGACAUCGAGUGGCAUCCACCUUGGGUGUCUGUCCAACCGUCUAAAAAACGGUUGUUAGCAAGGGCCGGGCAAGACCGGUGCCAGCCGCCGCGGUAAUACCGGCGGCUCGAGUGGUGGCCGAUAUUAUUGAGUCUAAAGGGUCCGUAGCCGGCUUUGCAAGUCCCCUGGAAAAUCCGGCGGCUUAGCCGUUGGGCUUUCAUGCGAUACUACAUUGCUUGUCACUGGAAGAGGUACGAGGUACUCAGGGGGUAAGGGU
rnacentral:rRNA from 1 species